UAGCCAAGUGAUUAAGGCUAUGGAUCGCCAAUCCGGAGACGGCGGGUUCGAUUCCCGU
rnacentral:tRNA from 1 species